rnacentral:misc_RNA from 1 species
CCCUUCCUCUUAUUCUCAGCUGAAACACGUUCAUCUCCCAUAAUUUGGGAUUUCUGAAUUGCAGUGGUCCACUCGUCUAGCACAUCAUCCAUAUCGUAGGAAAUGUUUUUGAGCUUCUGCAUCCAGAGUUUGAUCGCAUCAUCCUUCACUUGUCUAUCCUCGGCAUCCACCAGCACGGUCUUGAUGAACUGAAAUUUGGUAGUCAGCAUUUGAACUUCAUUCUUGACACCCACAACGAGCCUCACCUCUUGUUCUAUCUCACUCUCACGAGCAACGAUUGAAAUUAGUUCUUCCAAGACUUUGGAAACAAGAACGUCAGCCAUAGUUGAAAGGUAGUAGGCAAUUGAU